rnacentral:rRNA from 1 species
AACCUGACUCUUAGAGGGGGAUAACACUCGGAAACGGGUGCUAAUACCGCAUAAGACCACGACAUGGCAUCAUGACGAGGUCAAAGGAGCAAUCCGCUGAGAGAGGGGCUCGCGUCCCAUUAGAUAGAUGGCGGGGUAAUGGCCCACCAUGUCAGCGAUGGGUAGCCGAGCUGAGAGGCUGAUCGGCCACACUGGAACUGAGACACGGUCCAGACUCCUACGGGAGGCAGCAGUGGGGAAUAUUGGGCAAUGGGCGCAAGCCUGACCCAGCAACGCCGCGUGAGGGAAGAAGGCUUUCGGGUUGUAAACCUCUGUCCUUGGUGACGAAAAAAAUGACGGUAGCCAAGGAGGAAGCCCCGGCUAACUACGUGCCAGCAGCCGCGGUAAUACGUAGGGGGCGAGCGUUGUCCGGAAUUACUGGGCGUAAAGGGUGCGUAGGUGGCCUUUUAAGUUGGAUGUGAAAUACCCGGGCUUAACUUGGGGGGUGCAUCUAAUACUGGAAGGCUAGAGUGCAGGAGAGGGAAGCGGAAUUCCUAGUGUAGCGGUGAAAUGCGUAGAUAUUAGGAGGAACACCAGUGGCGAAGGCGGCUUUCUGGACUGUAACUGACACUGAGGCACGAAAGCGUGGGGAGCAAACAGGAUUAGAUACCCUGGUAGUCCACGCGGUAAACGAUGAAUACUAGGUGUAGGGGGUAUCAACUCCCCCUGUGCCGCAGCUAACGCAAUAAGUAUUCCGCCUGGGGAGUACGGCCGCAAGGUUGAAACUCAAAGGAAUUGACGGGGGCCCGCACAAGCAGCGGAGCAUGUGGUUUAAUUCGAAGCAACGCGAAGAACCUUACCUAGACUUGACAUCCCCUGAAUUACUCGUAACUGAGGAAGUCCCUUCGGGGACAGGGAGACAGGUGGUGCAUGGUUGUCGUCAGCUCGUGUCGUGAGAUGUUGGGUUAAGUCCCGCAACGAGCGCAACCCUUAUCACUAGUUGCUAACAUUAAGUUGAGCACUCUAAUGAGACUGCCCGGGUUAACCGGGAGGAAGGUGGGGAUGACGUCAAAUCAUCAUGCCCCUUAUGUCUAGGGCCACACACGUGCUACAAUGGUGAGUACAACAAGAUGCAAACCCGCGAGGGGGAGCCAAACUCAAAAACUCAUCUCAGUUCGGAUUGCAGGCUGAAACUCGCCUGCAUGAAGCUGGAGUUGCUAGUAAUCGCGAAUCAGAAUGUCGCGGUGAAUACGUUCCCGGGCCUUGUACACACCGCCCGUCACACCAUGAGAGCUGGUAACACCCGAAGUCCGUGAGGUAACCUGAAAAGGAGCCAGCGGCCGAAGGUGGGAUUAGUGAUUGGGGUGAAGUCGUAACAAGGUAGCCGUAGGAGAACCUGCGGCUG